GCACAUUACGCGUUCUGCAUGCCGAGGAUGAUUCGUUGGCCUCGUUAAAAAUCGAGUCACAAAAAAUAAACGCAGAUUACGAAGAUCUAGCUCUCGCGGCCUAAGUCCGCGACGCUGACACACAGACGCCUGCUAUGUGUGAAGGCGACGCCAGCAGGAUGGACUCUUGGCGGAUCGACCGCGCCGAGGGUUGAAUCGAUUUCGUGGACGAUCGGGGGAAAGCAGCGUGCCUCACCGUGGCCGACUCCCUAAAUUUCAAGUGAGGUCAAGCAUGUGGACGGACGUCUGAUGCGGUUCGGGGACAGGGGUUCGACUCCCCUCGCCUCCACCU
rnacentral:tmRNA from 1 species